rnacentral:rRNA from 1 species
GGCCUAACACAUACAAGUCGAACGCACCUACGGGUAAGUGGCAGACGGGUGAGUAACGCGUGGGAACCUGCCCUGUGGUACGGAAUAGCUCUGGGAAACCGGAGCGAGGUAGCGUAUACGCCCUACGGGGGAAAGAUUUAUCGCCAUAGGAUGGGCCCGCGUCAGAUUAGCUUGUUGGUGGGGUAACGGCCUACCAAUGCUACGAUCUGUAGCUGGUCUGAGAGGAUGAUCAGCCACACUGGGACUGAGACACGGCCCAGACUACCUACGGGAGGCAGCAGUGGGGAAUCUUGGACAAUGGGCGAAAGCCUAGAUACCAGCCAUGCCGCGUGAGUGAAGAAGGCCCUAGGGUUGUAAAGCUCUAAACAGCGGGGAAGAUAAUGACGGUACCCGCAGAAGAAGCCCCGGCUAAACUUCGUGCCAGCAGCCGCGGUAAUACGAAGGGGGCUAAGCGUAGUACGGAAUUACUAGGGCGUAAAGCGCGCGUAGGCGGACUGGCCAGUCAGGGGUAGAAAGCCCGGGGCU